rnacentral:rRNA from 1 species
AUUGAACGCUGGCGGUAGGCCUAACACAUGCAAGUCGAACGGUAACAGGAAACAGCUUGCUGUUUCGCUGACGAGUGGCGGACGGGUGAGUAAUGUCUGGGAAACUGCCUGAUGGAGGGGGAUAACUACUGGAAACGGUAGCUAAUACCGCAUAACGUCGCAAGACCAAAGAGGGGGACCUUCGGGCCUCUUGCCAUCGGAUGUGCCCAGAUGGGAUUAGCUAGUAGGUGGGGUAACGGCUCACCUAGGCGACGAUCCCUAGCUGGUCUGAGAGGAUGACCAGCCACACUGGAACUGAGACACGGUCCAGACUCCUACGGGAGGCAGCAGUGGGGAAUAUUGCACAAUGGGCGCAAGCCUGAUGCAGCCAUGCCGCGUGUAUGAAGAAGGCCUUCGGGUUGUAAAGUACUUUCAGCGGGGAGGAAGGGAGUAAAGUUAAUACCUUUACUCAUUGACGUUACCCGCAGAAGAAGCACCGGCUAACUCCGUG